rnacentral:misc_RNA from 1 species
GAUGAAGAACGUAGCGAAAUGCGAUAAGUAAUGUGAAUUGCAGAAUUCAGUGAAUCAUCGAAUCUUUGAACGCACAUUGCGCCCCCUGGUAUUCCGGGGGGCAUGCCUGUCCGAGCGUCAUUACAACCCUCAAGCUCAGCUUGGUAUUGGGCCCCGCCGACCCGGCGGGCCCUAAAGUCAGUGGCGGUGCCGUCCGGCUCCGAGCGUAGUAAUUCUUCUCGCUCUGGAGGUCCGGUCGUGUGCUCGCCAGCAACCCCCAAUUUUUUUCAGGUUGACCUCGGAUCAGGUAGGGAUACCCGCUGGACUUAAGCAUAUCAAUAAGCGGAGGA